UUUUGAACUACUGCAAAUGUCAACUCAUUAUUGAUUAUCUAAAGUAGCCCCAAAGUAUCUACAUAUCACAGAUCAUUUAAAAAAUUUAUCUUUAAUUUUUGUGUGUAUAUAGCAGAUGUAUAUAUUUAUAGUGCAUGUGGGAUAUUUUGAUACAGGCAUAGGAUUUGUAAUAAUCACUUCAGGAUAAAUGAGGUAACCAUUGCCUUAAGCAUUUAUACUUUGUGUUACAAACAAUAUAAUUAUACUCUUUUAGCUAUUUAAAAAUGUACAAUUUAAUUAUUAUUGACUAUAGUCACCUUGUUGUGCUAUCAAAUACUAGAUCUUAUUCAUUCAAUUUUUUUAUACCCAUUAGCUGUCCCCCCACUGCCCCCCAUGAUGGUUACCAUUCCCAGUCUGUGGUAACCAUCAUUCUACUUUCUAUCUCCGUGAGUUCAAUUGUUUUAAUUUUUAACUUCCACAAAUAAGUGAGACCAUGUGAAGCUUGUCUUUCUGUGCCUGGCUUACUUCAUUCAGCAUAAUACCCCUCAGUUCCAUUCAUGUUGUUGCAAAUGACAGGAUCUCAUUAAUUUUUAUGGCUGAAAUAACCAUAAAAAUGUGUAUAUGUACCACAUUUUCUUUAUCCAUUUGUCUGCUGAUGGACACUUGGGUUGCUUCCAAAUUUUGGCUAUUGUGAAUAGUGCUGCAAUAAACAUGCGAAUGCAGAUAUCUCUUCAGUAUACUGAUUUCCUUUCAUAUGGGUACAUUUCUAGCAGUGAGAUUGCUGGAUCAUAUGGUAGCUCUAUUUUUAGUUUAGCUCGAGGCUCUAGGGCUCUACAAUCAGCAGGUGGUGAGGCCAGCCAGGCUUGUAUCCUUCUGUUAAGGGUGGCAUGUUCCCCUGGGCCCUAGGUGGGUUCAGAGAUGCUGUCUGGUAGCCAGGUCUGGAGUCGGAAACCUUAGAAACAUAUAUUGUGAUCUAUUCUACUGCAGCUGAGCUGGUGCCAAAACCAGAAGACAAAGUCCUUCCUACUCUUUCCUCCCCUUUCCCCAGGCAGAGGAGUCUCUCCCUGUGUCCACCACCACUGCAGGCCCAUGGGGAGUACUGCCAGGGUACCACCAGUUUUCACUUAAGGCCCAAAGGCUCUUUCAGCAGCUUGCGGUGAGUGCUGCCAAACCUGGGAUUCACUCUUUAGGGCAGUGGGCUCCCUUCUGGCCCAGGGUAGGUCCUGAGAUGCCAUCCAAGAGUCAAGACCUGGAGUUGGGGACCCCAAGAACCCACUUGGUGCUCUUUUCCACGGUGGCUAAGCUGGUAUGUAAGCUCAAGACAAAGUCCCCUUUACUCUUCUCUCUGCUUUUCUUGGGCACAAGGGGUCUCUCCUUGUAGGCAUCACAACAGUAAAUGUGCUGAGUCACACCUGAAGCCAGUACAUCUCAGAGUCUCAUUAAAGGCCCGUUGCAUGUGUUAAUACCUGGUAAUACUACCUGGUUACUGCUGCUGAUUAUUUAGGGCUAAUAACUCUUUAGUUAGCAGGUGAUGAAUCCUGCCAGGCCUGGGUCCUUCCCUUCAAUGCAGCAGGUUCCCUUCUGGCCCAGGGUGGGUCUAGAAAUGUUCCCUGGGAGCAGGACCUGAAAUGGGGUCCUCAGGACUCUGCCCAGUGCCCUAUCUUACCAUGGCUGAGCUGGCAUCCAAGUUGCAAGACAAAGUCCUUUUUCCUUUUUCCUCUUCUCUCCUCGCGUGGAAGGAAGCUUCUUUUGAAGCUGUGAGCUGCACUGCGUGGAGUUGGGGGAGGGGUGGCAUAUGCACUCCCUUAGCCUCCCUGGCUGAUGUCUCACUAGGUCAUCUGCCCCCGCAAGUCCAUCGGCUCCAAACCCAGUACAGCACUAUGAAUUGCAUAGGAGUUGUAGUCCUUGUGGUCUAGACAGCCUUUGAAGUUUAUUUAGAUCUCCAGAGCCCUUUAGCCCAUGGUGGUGAGGCUUGCUAAAACUCAAGUUCCAACUGCUGGGCUGGGUGAUUUCCGUCUGGCUUGGGUCGGUCUCAAUGCUUGCUCCAUGGACACCAGCUGAGUUCUGUCCAGUGUUGGCAGCACUGCCUUCCAAUGCAGUCCCACGAUUGCUGUGCUCUUCCUCCCCCAAAUGCAGAUUCUCUCUCUGCACCACAUGACUGCUGCUGGCAGACUGGCAAUUCAAGACUGUCUUUCUUACGCUCUUAAAGUGCCUCUUACAGCGAUAUAAAGUUAAAACCAGAUAAUUAAUACAAAAUAUUUGUGGACAUUUACCACCCAAUGGUGGGCAGGGGGAGCGCAUGCUGAAACAAUAUUAGCAUCUGCCUCAAAAAUGAAUCGUUAUUUUAAGAAGAUUAUGUCUGAAGACCACAAUUUAAUAGAUUUACAUUGAUCAUCCACUAUGUUCCAGAUACUACAUGAUACUAACAAGACAACAGGAGAAGUGAUAUCAAAAGACAACGACUACACCAAAAUUUGGAGAAAAAGGUGAAUCCAGACAGUCACAGGUGAGAUCUGCCGACCUGGAGCAGAGCUGCUAGAUCCAUAAGCUGGGACGUGGAUGAAGCUGGAGGCAUUAUCCUUGGCAAACUUACACAGGAGCAGAAAACCAAAUACCACAUGUUCUCACCUGUAAGUGGGAGCUAAAUUAUGAGAACAUGUAGACACAUAGAGAGGAACAACACACACUGGGGCCUAUUGGAACGUGGAGGGUGGGAGGAGGGAGAGGAUCAAGAAAAACAUUUAGUGGGUACUAGACUUAAUACCUGGAUGAUGAAAUAAUCUGUACAACAAACCUCCAUGACACCCAUUUACCUGUGUAACAAACCUGCACAUGUAUUCCUGAACUUGAAAUAAAAGUUUUUUUAAGUGUAACUUACCAUUUUAAAAAAUAGUAUUUUUAA
rnacentral:lncRNA from 10 species